rnacentral:rRNA from 1 species
UAUUGGACAAUGGGGGAAACCCUGAUCCAGCGACGCCGCGUGAGUGAAGAAGUAUUUCGGUAUGGAAAGCUAUGUCAGCAGGGAAGAAAGAAAUGACGGUACCUGACACAGAAGCCCCGGCUAACUACGUGCCCGCAGCCGCGGUAAUAAGUAGGGGGCAAGCGUUAUCCGGAAUUACUGGGUGUAAAGGGAGCGUAGACGGUAAUGUAAGGCUGGAGUGAAAGGCGGGGGGCCCAACCCCCGGACUGCUCUGGAAACUAUGUUACUAGAGUGCAGGAGAGGUAAGCGGAAUUCCUAGUGUAGCGGUGAAAUGCGUAGAUAUUAGGAGGAACACCAGUGGCGAAGGCGGCUUACUGGACUGUAACUGACGUUGAGGCUCGAAAGCGUGGGGAGCAAACAGG